rnacentral:lncRNA from 1 species
CCUCUCUGGGGGGGCUUCCUUGCAUCAGGGAUGUUCCCCAACCCCAACAGAAUUGGGAAAAUUAAACGCCCCACACUGGGCUCAAGGCCCUUCGGUACUCACCGAGAUUGGGGUGUCUCGCAGGGUUGGCCCGGCCAGGUAGGCUGUGCAGGACUGGGCUGUCGAAGGGGCCGGCGGAGGCGGCAGCGGCUGCGGCCCAGGAUGCGCCCACAUCGGCCAUGUAGGCUGGGUAGGGGCUGGAGUAGGAGCCUGCGAAGCCCGGACGCCCGUACUGCUCUCGGCCAGCCAGGCCAGCGCCGGCUGCCCCGCCGCUACUGCUGUAGGCUGCAGCUUCCCGGGCUGCGGCAGCGGCGGCGGCGGCCG